rnacentral:rRNA from 1 species
UACGAAGGGGGCUAGCGUUGCUCGGAAUCACUGGGCGUAAAGGGUGCGUAGGCGGGUCUUUACGUCAUGGGUGAAAUCCUGGAGCUCAACUCCAGAACUGCCUUUGAUACUGAAGAUCUUGAGUUCGGGAGAGGUGAGUGGAACUGCGAGUGUAGAGGUGAAAUUCGUAGAUAUUCGCAAGAACACCAGUGGCGAAGGCGGCUCACUGGCCCGAUACUGACGCUGAGGCACGAAAGCGUGGGGAGCAAACAGG